rnacentral:rRNA from 1 species
AGCGAACGCUGGCGGCAGGCCUAACACAUGCAAGUCGAACGAACUCUUCGGAGUUAGUGGCGGACGGGUGAGUAACACGUGGGAACGUGCCUUUAGGUUCGGAAUAACUCAGGGAAACUUGUGCUAAUACCGAAUGUGCCCUUCGGGGGAAAGAUUUAUCGCCUUUAGAGCGGCCCGCGUCUGAUUAGCUAGUUGGUGAGGUAAAGGCUCACCAAGGCGACGAUCAGUAGCUGGUCUGAGAGGAUGAUCAGCCACAUUGGGACUGAGACACGGCCCAAACUCCUACGGGAGGCAGCAGUGGGGAAUCUUGCGCAAUGGGCGAAAGCCUGACGCAGCCAUGCCGCGUGAAAGAUGAAGGUCUUAGGAUUGUAAAAUUCUUUCACCGGGGACGAUAAUGACGGUACCCGGAGAAGAAGCCCCGGCUAACUUCGUG